CCGAGUUCGUGCCCUCACGGUAGAUCUCCCAACCCCUGUGUAUCUAUACCUAUAUGUUGCCUUGGCAGGCCGUGGAUUCGCAACCACCGGCUCGCCGGUACUGGGACGUGCCCUGCCAGCAGGACCUCUCAAAACUCGGUUUUGUAAGUUGUACGUUCUGAGUACCAUAACAAUAGUAAUCUA
rnacentral:misc_RNA from 1 species